UGGUCCCUAGGGAAGGUCUGCACCCCCGGAGGGUGGCGGCCAGGGAGGAGGGCUGGGAUUGGGACCGCUGCAGCGGGUGGCAGACGCUGUGGGCCUCUCCCCCACUCUUCCUCACUGCCUGCUCCUGAUCCCCGCCCUUCCUCCUCUCCAUCCUCCCCAUCUUCCUCCCGGUCCCUGGCAGCCGCGGUUAGGGGAGCAGCCUGCGGCACCGGGGCUGCUCAGCCUUUGUCUCUGGCCGCGGAGCGCGCCCGGGCCCAGCGCAGCAGGCCACGCGGGGACGGAGGAGGCUGCGAGGACCUGCAGUCAUGGAAAAACGGGAGAGGAGCCGGCCCAGCGUCACCACCAUCACCAUCACCACCACCACCACCACCACCACCACUACCAUCACUGACCGUCGCCCAUCCCACUACCCCUCUUCAUCCCCCAUCUCAUCUCCCCGCAUACUGCCAACUUUGUCAGACCAUUUCCUUUACAUCCGGUAAUACUUAGAUCGCGAGUGAGUGCA